UUGCAUUUGAGCAAAAGAAAGUCCAAUAAGGAAUGAGAAACCCCAAGCAAGGAAGUGAGGCGAUUGCAGUGUUCAAGACGAAACCAUGCCUACCCUGAGUUCAGACAAAGCAGAAUGCCUAUGCCAACAUGAUCAAUUGGACUGUUCGUUGCUCUCUUCUUCUGAAUCAACAAAACAAUACGUCAGAGAGCAAAAAACAAAACUAGGAGGAUAUGGACAGGGAGAGGAAAGAAAACGAUGCAAGUUGUUCUCACCGCUAUUUCCAUCCCAGUAUUUUUAUCAGAGUAACUGCUCCUAAAAUUCGUAGUGUUAUUUGGAACAAUUGGAACUAGUGCAUGUUCCUCAGCAUUUUUGCCACCAUGGUUGCUUGCCUCAGCUCCCACAGGAUUGCUAGCAUGCUGAGCAUUGACGAGUCGAUAAGACACAAUGUCAUUAUGUUCAUGACAUUGGGGCAACAAUAAAGGAAAUAAUCAAAGGGAAGUGGGAGCAUAUACCAUGCCGCUGGAAGGUUGACCCUCCACAUUGUCCUGAUAAAAGAAAAAAAAGUAGCAUCUUUUAAUUUAUGGCAAAGCGUCGCAAGCCAAAAGCAAGGAAGAGCAAGAAAAUGUGUAGUACACACUCCAACAGUAUAUAAGUUUUUUAAUAAAUAAACACCACAAAUUACAUAAAUGUAUACAAGUGGCUGAGCUUGACGGAAAAUGUUGCGGGGGCAGGAAAACAACCUAUAUAUGCUUAACCUUGGAAGCAGUUAGGUCACUGCAGGGAACUAGUGAUGGUGAUCCUAUGCAUGAGCUAAAGAGAGUACGCUUGAUUUAAAGUUGUGCUAAGCACAGUGAGAGGGGGUAACAUUCUCAAAGAUGAAUCCAUUCAUCUGCUUCCAGAUGUUCCAGGCUACAAUGUGAUGGCGUUUUCCAUGAAGUUAGGGCGGUUGAAAUUGGUUCUGGUCUCGAUCAAAUCUUCAAGGCUGUGCUAGUGCCCCAGUUCAUGUGGAUGCCCUCCCGACAUAGUAAUAUAUAUAUAUAUAUAUAUAUAUAUAUAUAUAUAUAUAUAUAUAUAUAUAAGACUCCAUCAAACAAUUGGAGGACCAGGGCAACUGGCAUUUAGGUGAAGUUCCUGUACAUAGAGGGGAGCACUGAAGAUGUGCAACAAUCUGGCGACGGAAGAUGCAGAUGUGAUGAAUGAGCCUUACUGAGUGUAAUGUGAUGUAAAAUUUCUGAAGUUUAAUGCAUAUGCCACUGUUGGCUGAAUAUGGUUUUCCCUGGAGGAGCAUUUAUCUAUUCUUCAGCUAAAGCUGUAUGCACUAGUAGUGCAGCACAAUGCUAAUUUUCAGUUAAAAUUUGUA